AUUGAACGCUGGCGGUAGGCCUAACACAUGCAAGUCGAGCGGAGCGGCGGACGGGUGAGUAAUGCCUAGGAAUCUGCCUGGGAGCGGGGGAUAACGUCCGGAAACGGGCGCUAAUACCGCAUACUAUCAGAUGAGCCUAGGUCGGAUUAGCUAGUUGGUGGGGUAAAGGCCUACAAAGGCGACGACCCGUAACUGGUCUGAGAGGAUGAUCAGUCCCACUGGAACUGAGACACGGUCCAGACUCCUACGGGGGGCAGCAGUGGGGAAUAUUGGACAAUGGGCGAAAGCCUGAUCCAGACAGGCCGCGUGUGUGAAGAAGGUCUUCGGAUUGAAAAGCACUUUAAGUUGGGAGACGUUACCUACAGAAGAAGCACCGGCUAACUUCGUGCCAGCAGCCGCGGUAAUAC
rnacentral:rRNA from 1 species